AAGCGAGAUCAGCCUAUUCACUUUACAUGCGUUGGUGGCGGAUGCAGACUGUGGAAAAUAAGAGAUAAGAGCUCAAUUUCAAAGUCAACGUUGAGAUUAAUGCCAUUGCAGGAAACUAAGGUACUCAGUGAAGUUUGAGCAGUUUCUGAACACUAUGGAACACAGGGUUAAAUUAGACCUCAAUAUCCAAAAGUGACUGGCUUCAUUGCGACUCUAUGAUUGACACUACGGUGUCCACCUCGUUUCCUUUGGUUUUAAAUUGAAACAUUUGGAAGAGUAGCUGGGUAGUAAAUCUACAAUAAAGCGCAACACAGUGCUUCAUAAGGCACUUCCCCAGCCUCUGAAAAAUAAUGGCCCAAUUAAGUUGUAGAAUGACUUGUAAAAUUUAAUGUAUCUCAGCAAA